ensembl:lncRNA
GAUGUUCCUGAUUUUAAAAUUUCUGAAGGGAGAUAAUGAAAACACAGACACACACACACACAUAUAUAUAUAUAUAUAUAUAUAUAUAUAUAUAUGUGUGUGUGUGUGUGUGUGUGUGUUUGUUUGGUUGUUAGUUAUUUUGAUGUCCACGCUGUAGGAGCAUUACUAAAUUAGUAAAACUAAAAUGUUUAAGUCUUUUUUUUUUUUUAUAUAUUCUGUCAAUUAUUAUUUUUCUUUUCUGCAUUUCACCUCUGCUAUAGUUUAUUUAUAAUAAACCUGGCAUUGUAUAAUAAAUAUUGUUGUCUCUGUGACAGUAUGCUUAUGUUCCUAGGUUCUUCCAUGCUGAUGGCUGUGCUCUAGAGUCAUAUCUCCCGUCGAAGAACAUUUUUAGACAUUAUGAACCAUGAAAAAGUUUAGCUCCAACCCCAGUUAAGCAGAUCGGGGCAGCUGAUCAAGGAUCACCAGAAACUCUGCAGAACAUUGGUCCUCCAGCCCAGGACUGGACACCAGUGUUUGUCUGUCUCAGAAACUGAAGAAAAGAGGCCACACCUCAGAGGAAAUAAGCGCCUCCUAAGUGUACGGAACUACCUGGCUGAGAAGAUCAGUGACAUAAACCAGAUAAAACUGUCAGUGGUCUAAGACAGCUACAAUGAAGCCACAAAUGCAGUUCAUAGUUCCUGUAUUUCUAUAAUGCAUUAAUGAAUAACAAUAAUUAAAAAAAAAUGUAAUGUCAAGGUUUUGUGUUAAUUCCAGCUAUGUUGAGUAUUCUGUGAAUAAUUUUGAUUUUAGGUGCAUAUUCUUAAUUCUUUGCAAAACAACCUGAACUGUUUGCUAUUGAAAGGUUGGUAUGUAGUUUAAAUAAAUAAAAAUGAUAUUCUUGACAAAACCUGUGUAUAGUUGUAUUAAUAAUUUAAAUUAUU